rnacentral:rRNA from 1 species
UACGUAGGGGGCUAGCGUUGUCCGGAAUCAUGGCGUAAAGAGCGUGUAGGCGGCCGGUCAGUCCGCUGUAAAAGUCAAAGGCUCAACCUUUGAAUGUCAGUGGAUCACUGCCGGGCUAGAGUCCGGAAGAGGCGAGUCGGGAACUCCUGGUGGUAGCGGUGGAAUGCGCAGAUAUCAGGAAGAACACCAACGGCGAAGGCAGCUCGCUGGGACGGUACUGACGCUGAGACGCGAAAGCGUGGGGAGCGAACAGG